AACAGUGUGUUUCAGAGAGGCUGUACCAGAAUUAACUCUGCUCAGAGUUAGAUUUGCUGGUCUUAAAGUACUUUUCCUCUUUAAGAUAAAAGAAGUUCUUCUAAAUCAGGAAUGGAUUGAAAUCUAAUGAACCGAAACUUUGGCUCCCCAGUCCUGGUCUCCUGCCCUACACAGUCCAAGCAAGUGGGCCAAGAGAUUGCAGCAAAGGAGAGGGGCCAGAGAGGAAUCUUAUCUUCUGUCCUGGCUUCUCCAGUUUUCCUCCUGCCUGCACAUUAAACACACAGGGACUGACGUGCUGAGACCUGGUAAAUUCAGACAGUGGGGUUCACGGUUCAUCGUAUCCUUUGAAGGACUCCUCCACCACUUCAUUCAAGAUAUCUGAUGUCAUUUCUCUUGACUUCGUUUUAACUAGAAAACCUUGAUUUUGAUUAUUUUUUAAUUUUUGGUGAAAUCAGUAAAUGCCAUUUUGAAGAAAGAAAGAAGUAGACUAUGAAGGAGAGUGUUUUGGGGAAAGAUCUCUGUGUCGUCUUAGAGUUCACCUGCUUUGUGACUAGUGAAUGCACUACAGAAACUGGCAGACAGCAACACCCUCAGCCUGCCUCGGAAGAGACAAAAGUAAAUACCCGUCUCAAAGAGAAUGCACUGAAAUAUGAUAUCAGCUGCAAGAGAGGGCCAUCUCCUCCGGUCAAAUGAGAAAAAUCAUAUUAUCCUCGCUG
rnacentral:lncRNA from 1 species